GUAAACGAAUAGUGUAGGUGUGAGGUGUUGGGUGUUGUGUGCGCGUUGACACUGCAGUGGUGAUAGGAAAUUGUUAGUCAGUAACUUGAAGGUUGUUAGGAAUGUUGAAUGAUAAAGGAUAACUGGGUAUGUGUAGGAUGUGCACUGCGUCUAUUGGAAGGUUAAUUGUACGAUGUCUGUCUGUCAAUGUAGGAUGUAUCAGGAACCAUCGCUACGUGUGGAUGUUAAAUUUACUUGUAGAUGUCAAUAAGGGCAGAUGGUCGUUCAUUCACUAGUGUGGUUAGAGUAACGUGGGUUCAGAAUAGAUUUGUGUAAUGGCUGUAACAAGUGUAGUGUUUUCGUGGUCAUUGUAGUUGUGUAGGAAGGAAGAAUUACGCUUAACCUCUUCAGUACUGUGACGCAUUUUCACCUUGAGAUGUGUGUACGAUUAGAUCAUUCUAUUGAUAUUACAAAGCGUGUAUGGAUGUCACAAGGUUUCUCAAGUUGUAUAAAAUCACCAAAUAGUAACAGAAGGAAUAUGAAAAUGCGGCUUGGUGCUGAAGGGAUUAAACGGGUCGCGUUACUAUAGAACUCCUUUAAGUAAGUUGUAUUUGAGGCUAAAAUGUUUCAGGUUAGUCAUUGUGGUUCCCUCGUUAUAGAAUAGGUACCAGAAUCGGCGAAAAGAAUGAGUGGACAAGAUUUCCUAACGUAACGAGGCUGGUGUUUCAAGGCGUUGACGAUCCAAAGGCCUGACUCCACAGCGGUAAUGAGCCUCGUCUACCUUGCACUUUGACGGACAACGCUCACUACCAACACUUCUAGAAGCCUCCGCCGUAAGAUUGCAUCGCGCACACGGUCUACUCUUAACGACCGCCACCGCCGCUGCCGCCGUUGAGGGAGACUGGCUGGAUGAGUGGGUGAUAGAGGCGAGGCAGGUGUGGUGAGGCGGAGGAUUGGAGACGAGAACCUACAGAUGACGGCAGACACGGAAGAUUCCACUAACCAGGAGUUGGUGAUCCGAAGCCGUGACUGCAGCGAUCCCGUGCGUCCUGCACCAUCAGGGAAGGACUCUCUCUGGCUUCGCACUGCGCCUACAUUGACCGUUGCCGCCGCCGCUGCUACCGCUACUCGGAGGGGCACUGCCUCGCAUUGGGCCUUCACUGCCGUCCCGCUAAUACACGUGUCGCCGUCGCAGCUACUGGCACUGAGGGACUUC